rnacentral:rRNA from 1 species
UACGUAGGGUGCAGGCGUUAAUCGGAAUUACUGGGCGUAAAGCGUGUGCAGGCGGGUGGACAAGUGGUGUAUGAAAUCGCCAGGCUAAACCUGGCGGGGUUAUGCCAGACUGUCCGUCUGGAGUGCGAGAGAGGGGCGUGGAAUUCCGGGUGUAGUGGUGAAAUGCGUAGAGAUCCGGAGGAACCCCAGAGGCGAAGGCGGCGCCCUGGCUCGCAACUGACGCUCAGACACGACAGCAUGGGGAGCGAACGGG